AUGCACCACUCGCAUGCUCGGGUUCGUGCGCGCCAUCCACGCCCACUUGGUGACUGCUCGCUCCGUGGUGUUAGCC
rfam:Xanthomonas oryzae pv. oryzae KACC10331, complete genome.